CCGCGCAGCCAUGGCGGCCGCCGCUCUCGUGGUGGGGUUGGCUCUGCAGCCUGGGGCCAGGACCCUGCGUGCGUUCUCCACCGCCGUGUCCCCCGCCACUCACGCUCCGAGACCUACCCCGCGAUGAAGUGGCAUCUUUAAAAGAACAACGGAAGAAAAGGAAUCUGAAGUAAAAAGGCUACACGAAAAAUUGGUUUCCAAGAUGAAAGAAGGGAUUGAAAUUCUUGACAGAGAUGUUGAAGUACAAAAAAUGAAAAAGGCUGUGGAGUCUUUGGUGGCAGCAAAUAAAGAAAAUGUAUUCAGAUGACAUUUAAAUAUUUAUGUGGAUGUUUUGUAACAACAUUUUGAGGAUCCCAUACAAUUUCAUAAGAUAUCCCAUUUUGAAAGAACAUACCCCAAACACUACUGACACUAAGGGGCAAGUGUGCCCUGUCCCCGCCCAGGUGUGCACACUCCCACUGGUGGCAGCUGUCGUCGUGGCUGUGUGCACAGGAGUAGGCGCCAGUAGCACCGGCUCCACCCAGAACCCCCACCAGCAUGAAUUGAGAAAACAUUCCAGCAUUCAGAUCAAUUCUGCAUUUCAGGUGACAAAUAAAGGAAAGGAUAUGUUCCAUAGCACAUCUUUUCUGUGGUCACUGGAAAUUCUGAGGGAGGGAGCUCCAUGACAGUCUUGGCUUCACAGUCACGAUGGAUUUCUUCUCCAUAGACACGUUAUUUCCUUCACGCUCCUGGCAGCUUUCACAUCUGGGAUUGUCUCUGCUCUCCUGAGAGAUGAAAUACCAGAAAACAGAGACACGGGCUUUGCUUUAGCUACGCUGGCCUAACACCAAGGUCUCCACGGGUUCCCUGCCUCAGAUGGAUCUCCUCACCCACAUCUGGUGUUUCAUCCUAAGAGCAUGGAUGCAGUUACCCGACUAAGGCGUGUGUUUGUCAUGGCUUACCUGACCAUGCGUGUAUGUGGCGCAGCCACAGUCAGGCUCAGCUCAUGUCAUCAGAACUGCUCUCCCCUUAUGCGCCUGAAUGAUUAGAACACGGGGACGUUUUCUCAAGAAAAGAGAAAUUUCAAGGAAGUAAAAAACAACAAAAUUCCAAAGAACUUUGGCUUGAUCUUUUUCUCUCAUUGUAAGUUUCUUUCUCGAAUUCUUGCCUACUGUUUUACUUCUUACUUAUUUUUGCCUUUCACUCUUUAUUUGCUUUUUAUUCCACAGAAAUAAACUUAUUGUCAUACCCACUUACCUAUUUAUAGGGUCCUUUUUGCUAAUCUUCCCCACU